AGUGAACGCUGGCGGUAGGCCUAACACAUGCAAGUCGAACGGCAGCACAGGAGAGCUUGCUCUCUGGGUGGCGAGUGGCGGACGGGUGAGGAAUACAUCGGAAUCUGCCCAGUCGUGGGGGAUAACGUAGGGAAACUUACGCUAAUACCGCAUACGACCUUCGGGUGAAAGAGGGGGAUCGCAAGACCCCACGCGAUUGGAUGAGCCGAUGUCGGAUUAGCUAGUUGGCGGGGUAAUGGCCCACCAAGGCGACGACCCGUAGCCGGUCUGAGAGGAUGAUCAGCCACACUGGAACUGAGACACGGUCCAGACUCCUACGGGAGGCAGCAGUGGGGAAUAUUGGACAAUGGGCGCAAGCCUGAUCCAGCCAUACCGCGUGGGUGAAGAAGGCCUUCGGGUUGUAAAGCCCUUUUGUUAGGAAAGAAAUCUUUCAGGCUAAUACCCUGGGAGGAUGACGGUACCCAAAGAAUAAGCACCGGCUAACUUCGUG
rnacentral:rRNA from 1 species